rnacentral:piRNA from 1 species
UGACUGUGUGCAUGGUCAUGUUGGAG